GCCCCGCUGAAAUUCGUUUCACUGGACCAGUGCUUUGGUGUUACAACAGGACUGAGUUUAAGAAACUCAUUUGAAAGAGCCCAACAGUGCACUUACGAAGAAAUACAGUCAUGUGGCGUGAAGCAAGGGGUGUGAGAGCAUACGGCCAUACAUCGUUUGAAGAGACACUCAGACAUUCAUGUAAGACUGACAUGUGAAGUUCUCUUACAGUGCAGGAAGGAUGACUAGUUUGGACCUGAUCAACCUGAUACCUUUCUGCCUUUAUUCAAUGCCUGGAGUGAACAAAGGCAAGAUGACUAGAAGCUUUGAGAUAUGAACGAGAGGGAUGAAUGAAGGGUCAGUGAAGUUGCCGUGUGUCCCUGGAGUUCACACUUAAACAUAUACAAAGUAGGAAUCACUUCACAUUUGUACUGAAGAAAAUUUUGUGACUGUACUUGGUGCUGCACUCUGACAGCCUGAAAAGUGAGAACCACAGCUGGCCUGAGGAUGUUGGUAACUGAAGUUUUGUUCCAGCGUUGAUCUCUGUGAGCCUCUGUGUCUCCGUCUGUACAGUGGAACCAAGGGUAUAAGUGUCUAUACUUCUGAGUUUAAAAUAAGCCUUCAACCUGAUUGUAACGCAUAGAUGGUCAGACUAACAGCUGAUAAAAAAAAUGAGAGGAACAUACUCUUCAAGUAUUACAGAUCUGAUCUAGGACGGCUUCUCAGAGUCGCUCCUGCUGGCGAGUGUCAGCUGACCUUAUUCCCCUCUAUAUUGCUAUCUGCUGAAGGAAAACAUCAGAGGAGAAGGUGAAACAGCACAGCGGGGCUGGACAGCUGUGAGCUAUUGAAUGGGAAGUUUCUGCCCUGGGCGCUGAUCGCGAUGGCACUUCGGGGGUCCUGAAGAACUGGCGGCUGCGGCACCGCAGGAGCGACCGCAGCGUGGGGAACCACGCGCAGGCCUUUGGCAGCUGCCGGCCUCCAACAGCCGCAGAGGUGCAGCGUGCAGGCAGAGCCGGGCGCCAGGAGUCGUGCUGCCAGGACACUGGGUGAGAGCUGUGCAAGGGCAGGAUCCUGGCGAGAGGUGGAGAUCCAAGCAAUGUCAGAUGUGGGCAUCUGGUGCUCAAAGGAAAUAGCGGCGUCAGCUUGUCAUACUUUGUUCCUGCAUCCUGUGUAGAGAAACUGCAGCCCACGCACAGCUGGAAUUGCUGCCAACAAAAAGCAAUGAGAAUUUCACCUGGCCAUUGGAAGCCAAUGCCUUUGGAAGAGUGUGCUUCAGAUAGUCUGCAUGCUGCUGGUGCGGUGCUCUGCACAGCUGCAAAUACGCACAUGUUCGGUGUCUGCUUUUGCAUUUCUCUGAUGUUUCUGUAGGAAUAUUCCGCAGCAAUUUCCUACAAUCCUACACUCCUACAGUUUCCUACACUCAUGUGGACAGACUGUUAAGUAUGAAUCUCAGAUGCUAUGAAAAAUUCCCUGGUAUAGCCACCAAAAGGGAAGUAGAGAGGGUAAGAGGUAAGGGAGAAAAGUGAUAUUACAGUUGAAAAAGUUUUUUUCAAUCCUGCAGGCUGCGGGAAAGAUUGUUGUUAAUGGAGCGUUACAGUCUUCUGAGAACAUCCCCUCUCCCCAAAAUAUUUCUUGGAAGUUAUUAAGGGUGUUUGGUAUGUCUUUGCAUUUAGGCUGUACGGCGCUUGUACGGCUGAUUUAGGAACACUGACUCCUGCAUCAGAACAAAAGGACAGACCCUAAACGUUGGUUUAACCCAUUACCCUUUACUUGGCACAGGAGUGAUGCAAGGUAACCAUCUAUAAUGACAUGUCAGAUACAAGUUGUCCUGACCUGAUGAUUUUAAACUGUCUGAUGUUGAUAGCUACUUCUUACCAUUCUUACUGCCUGGCUCCCUGUUUAGUUACUGUUUGGCUGAAAGUAUUUUGACAAUGAUGAUGUAGUAUCAGUUCAUUAACUCCUUUUUUCUCUGUGCUAAGGAGAGCCUGGGAGAGGGGCAAAGUCCAGCAGCUGCCCAGCGUGCGCUGGGGCAGGGCGAUGCACGCUGGGGUGAGCAGGAGAAGGGCCAUCCUGACAUUGCGUGUCUAAUCUAAUCUGGGCCAUAAUCAUUUCCUACUGGCUCAGCUUCAGUCACAUCGUUAGCCUGAUGCUGAAAUUAGAUCCAGCAUGCCAGCGAUGUUCGUUUUCCUACCAUGGCCGUGUCAUCCGGCUGUGCUUCCUGCACGCUGCCUCGGCUCGCAGGUGACUGACAAGCCUGGUUAUGUCGAUCCAGACACAGCAGGCGGCUUUCGCUGAGCACUUCCCGCGGACUGAGGCAACCGUCAACUGUGAGCGUUUCGGUACCCCGCCGCUCUCCUGUGUAAAGCAGGAACUUCUCUGUGUUACAGCCCGGGUCCGACUCCCUCCCAGCGCCCUGCGCUUGUCACAAAUAGUCACAAUGACUAACGGGUAUGUGAGCAAUACCUCUUACCUAAAUCUAUACUAUCACUAUGUCUCUACUGUGCACAGUUGGGGUGAGAGAGCAAAUCUGGGGCCAGAUUCACUCAGCUGUUACUCCACUUGCUUUGUGAGGCACUAGGAUAGGAGAGAUGCAAUAUUUUGAGCACCUUUUUUGACCUCUGGCCAUACAAGCCAGCUCAUUUCUGAGUUAAGUCUUGAGUUUUCAGGAAAAGUUGUGGCAUGCAAAUGGGAGGUGCACUUUCCUCCAGUCAGUGGUGUUACAGCAAGUGCACUAACGCUACAACCAGCAUGAGAUUUUCUGCUUUUCCUAUCUACCUACUAUAACAUGACAUUAAGGAGUCCUUGUAAUAACUGAAGAGUCCUCGACACUUCAGAAAACUAGAGGAACCUGGACACAUUCCUGUGCGGGUCAUUAAUUUCUGUGGCACCUCCCACACUUCGCAGCGUGUGAACCUGUACUCACUGCUGCAAGCAAACCUCUUCCAGGGAGCUGGCUGCACUUCAGGGCAGGAGAGCGGUGGGAGACCCGGGUUGGGCACCCGCUCCGCAGGGUGCUGGCUCUGGAUCAGUGAAGAGCAUACGCUUCACUUUGGGCACAGUCAGAGCCACAUGUGAUUUUAAAUGUAUGAGCAGUCACACCGUGCGGGGGGGUGUCUCCUCUGAGCACAAGACAUCUCCGUUGCAGUUGUUUCCACCUGAGCCCGGCACUGUACGCCUCUUAGUUGUUCAGUGGAGAAAAGUGGGCAAUGGUAGGGAUUUACCUCAUUCUGAAGCAGGCAUCUAAAAAGUCAGAUGACCCCUAGAAGUGCUUUCUAGGAAGACUUUAUCCCUGAACAGUGUGAAGAAUGGUAGCCGGUGAAAAGACUGACUCUUGGACGAACUCCAGACUACCUUUUAAAAAUAUAAUAUUUUAAGUAAACAUUUUAGGAUAAAGAAGCCUUCAGUUUUCUCUUAUUAACGAAAGCAAAUAAACACCGUUUUUAAAUACCAGUUGGGAUUCCAACCACGAACUGCAAACACCAUAUGGACUUGCUUCUCCCAUCAUCUUUUUGCCUUGCAUUUCAGGAGGGCUAAGAAGAGCUAUGACAGGUUCCUUUCUUCACCUCUUAUCUAAUCGUGAAGUCCUCUCUUGGGCUAGACCAUCUUUGAAGCUCCUGGGAAGCUUGUCUGAUUCAAGACCCCUGGGUUCAAUUCCAAAAGAAUAAAUUUAGGACCUGGCACUCAGAAAAUUCAAUUUUAGCUUAGAUCUUAUUUUCCUAUGACAGCUCUAGGAUCCUGGCUAUUCCAUUCACUCCCACCCUGUAUUUUUUAUGACUUCUUUGCUUCUUGCUGCAUUUCCUCCAUUGCAUAUACAAAGGCAUCAGUGUGAGAUAGCACCAAAUGUUUUGAGAAAAUACAAAAAAAUCCAUAUGCAUAUAAAAAGAGGCUUUCAUGAUGUGUUUAUUCCUGACCUGGAGCAAAGGAGCAGCACUCUAAUUCUGAAAUAAGUGUUAAAACAGAGCCAUGAGUUAAACUGUCAGGCUUUCAGGUGGCAUAAAUACCAUAGGUGGUGUAACACUUUACUUUAGCUGAGGAUUUACACACUUAAUUCAGUUUUACCACAUUUCCUUGCAAAUUGCACUAUUUUUUCAUCAUCCAGGCAUACCGAUUUACUUUUAGUUAUUUAUUUGUUGCUUAUUUAUUAGAACCUCUUCAAGGGAUAAUUGGACUGCUGCAGUCCUGCUAGGGGAGAGGUAUUGAUCUGGGCAUUCCUUUAUUACUUAUCUAUUUUACUGCCAAAUAAUCCUCUCUGGCCACUUGUCUUCACUUACUUUGGAUUCUGGAAGCAGCCUGGAAACUCCACACUGCCCAUUACAGUAACGGAAAGUGUUGAUAUGCUAACUGUCCGUGAGGUGACUGGAAGAGCUGGGAACAACAUAAUCGUCUUGCUGUUCUACAAGCUGUCUAUGAUAAGUUAUUCUAAAAUAGUUUAUUGCAAAUAUUGACAUGUUAGGUAAUGAAUAAAACUCUCACUGAAGAACCAAAAUUACUUUUUGAAUUAAAAAAGCCCUCCAAAUGCCACGGAUUUCUGAUCAUUCCCUCUAGAAAGUGCAACUACUCAGAAGGUCAAGUAUAGUAAAACUGACAUGACGGGCUGUGAGGGGGCUUGCAAAUGAGAUCUCUGUCUGGCUUUGUAGCUAGAAAACUGUAACUAUAGAAAUGCCUAAUUUAAAUGUACAUUUAUAAAUGUGUAAAAUGGCAAGGAUGCAUGUUUUUGAAAGUGCUUUUAUUUUGCAAUUGAAUCUGCUAGUGUAGUCCUCACAGAAUAAGGUUAAAAGGUAAAACAGGCAUCAUAGCUUUGUUUGGGGAAGCCCAAGAUUAUGCUGGUGGAAUAAAAAAAGGGAGGAUAAGGAUCUUUGGACCACCCCCGUAUCCUGUGUGGGG